CCUCUAACAAGAUAUCUUACUAAAAUUACGUUUUAUAUUCCCACUUACCUAAAUAUCAUUACUGAGAAUACGAGACUUUAACAAAGAUUGUAAAAAUUUAUCGAAACCGGAAGUGAUGCACCGCAAUGCACGAGGAGUGCAUUGUGGGGUUUGCAGUCACGAUCGCAACACGGAAGUGCACUACAAGAACAUUAAGUACACAGCACUUUCACCCUCUUUAUUAAAGGAAGCAACAACAUUCCCUAGACAGCCCUCUAGAUUGGAGACACCGGAGAAGCCAGCAAAUGAUUAUAUAUUGAUUGCACCCAGAUUGCUG